rnacentral:rRNA from 1 species
UAAGUACGUCGCUCCAAUCCAAUGUGAACGUUACCAAACUGUUGCCUCGGCGGGGUCACGCCCCGGGUGCGUAAAAGCCCCGGAACCAGGCGCCCGCCGGAGGAACCAACCAAACUCUUUCUGUAGUCCCCUCGCGGACGUAUUUCUUACAGCUCUGAGCAAAAAUUCAAAAUGAAUCAAAACUUUCAACAACGGAUCUCUUGGUUCUGGCAUCGAUGAAGAACGCAGCGAAAUGCGAUAAGUAAUGUGAAUUGCAGAAUUCAGUGAAUCAUCGAAUCUUUGAACGCACAUUGCGCCCGCCAGUAUUCUGGCGGGCAUGCCUGUCCGAGCGUCAUUUCAACCCUCGAACCCCUCCGGGGGAUCGGCGUUGGGGAUCGGGACCCCUCACCGGGUGCCGGCCCUGAAAUACAGUGGCGGUCUCGCCGCAGCCUCUCCUGCGCAGUAGUUUGCACAACUCGCACCGGGAGCGCGGCGCGUCCACGUCCGUAAAACACCCAACUUCUGAAAUGUUGACCUCGGAUCAGGUAGGAAUACCCGCUGAACUUAAGCAUAUCAAUAAGGCGGAGGAAUCUUUAGGACUACCCGCUGAACUUAAGCAUAUCAUAACGGAAGAGAGAGAUCACCUCGCGGGGUAACCCCCAGGUGGAAAAA